UCACACGUCAGUUCAGCGCGAGAAGGAGUACAGUGAAGGUGUGGCAUCGCUCGGCUGCUGCUUCUCCUACACCUGACGCCGGUGGUGGAGCGGGUGGUGGUGGUGGUGGUUGUGGUGCUUCCCAUGACCAGUCCUUCCCCAUCAUAAACGUGAGGAAUGAAGAGGAGUGGUUCGUUGGCUUUCCCGAGUGAUUGAGAGAAGUCCAAGAAAAGGAAAGAGAGAGAGAGAGAGAAAAGACAUUCCUCCGCGUCUAGUACCUGUCCUCGUUAGCGAAACCCUACGGGCGAACACAAGGAUAAGAAUAGGGCAGCGGCGGUGAGCUGGGUCGAUGGUGGCACUGACGAGGCUGGUGUCUGUGGCUUCCUGACCUCCCGGAUGUAAGCUGACCUGACCUUCCCUUCGUGACCCCGCCCGCAUGACCCGUCCCAAGCUUCUUCUCGAGGCAGCAGUUCCCUGUGACCUCAAAUACUUAUGUGGGAUUUUGAAGCUUCGAGUGUGAAUUGAAGCUCCUUGUGUGAUUUUGAGGUUUUCUGUAUGAACUUGAAGCCUCCUACAUAAUUCUGAAGACUUCUCUGUGAUCUUGAAGCCCCUUGUGUAAUCUUUAAGCUUCUUAUUGGACCUUGAAGCCUCCUACAUAACUUUGAAACCCUCUGUACGAUCUUGAAACCUUUUAUGUGAUCUUGAAACUUCUUUUGUGAACUUGGAGCCUCCUACGUAAGCCUGAAGCCUCAUAUGUGACUUUGAAGCCUCCUAUGUGAUAUUGAAACUUCCUAUUGAAACUUAAAGUUUCGUAGGUAACUUUUAAGUUUACUGUGAGAUCUUGAAGCCUUCUGUACGAACUUGAAUUAUCCUACGUACUCUUGAAACCUCCUAAUGGAACUUGAAGCUUCGUACGUAACUUUGAAGCGUACUGUGAGAUCUUGAAGCGUUAUGUAUGAGCUUGAAGCCUCCUACGUACUUUCAAGACCUCUUAUAUGAUCUUAAAGUUUCAUAAGUGAUUUUGAUGCUUCCUCUGCGAUCUUGAAGCCUCUUGUACAAUCUUGAGGGUUCUUACAUGAUCUCAAAGUCUCCUCUGUAACUUAGAACCUUCCUAUGUGAUCUUGAAGCCUCUUGUGCAAUCUUGAGGGUUCUUAUAUGAUCUUAAAGUCUC